rnacentral:rRNA from 1 species
GUGGGGAAUUUUGGACAAUGGGCGAAAGCCUGAUCCAGCCAUGCCGCGUGCAGGAUGAAGGCCUUCGGGUUGUAAACUGCUUUUGUACGGAACGAAAAGACUCCUUCUAAUAAAGGGGGUCCAUGACGGUACCGUAAGAAUAAGCACCGGCUAACUACGUGCCAGCAGCCGCGGUAAUACGUAGGGUGCAAGCGUUAAUCGGAAUUACUGGGCGUAAAGCGUGCGCAGGCGGUUAUAUAAGACAGGUGUGAAAUCCCCGGGCUCAACCUGGGAACUGCAUGUGUGACUGUAUAGCUAGAGUACGGUAGAGGGGGAUGGAAUUCCGCGUGUAGCAGUGAAAUGCGUAGAUAUGCGGAGGAACACCGAUGGCGAAGGCAAUCCCCUAGACCUGUACUGACGCUCAUGCACGAAAGCGUGGGGAGCAAACAGGAUUAGAAACCCGAGUAGUCC